UACGUGAGCCUCGGGCGUUACCCGGAUUCACUGGGCGUAAAGGGUGUGUAGGCGGCAUAGUUAGUCGUGCGUUAAGGUCCGAGGCUUAACCUCGGAAGUGCGUUCGAAACGGCUAUGCUAGAGGGUGCGAGAGGUCUGUAGAACUCAUGGUGUAGGGGUGAAAUCCGUUGAUAUCAUGGGGAAUACCAAAAGCGAAGGCAGCAGACUGGCGCAUUUCUGACGCUGAGACACGAAAGCGUGGGUCGCGAAUGGG
rnacentral:misc_RNA from 1 species